UACGGGGGGGGUAAGCGUUGUUCGGAAUUACUGGGCGUAAAGGGCUCGUAGGCGGCCAACUAAGUCGGACGUGAAAUCCCUCAGCUUAACUGGGGAACUGCGUCUGAUACUGGAUGGCUUGGAUUUGGGAGAGGGAUGCGGAAUUCCAGGUGUAGCGGUGAAAUGCGUAGAUAUCUGGAGGAAUACCGGUGGCGAAGGCGGCAUCCUGGACCGACAUUGACGCUGAGGAGCGAAAGCUAGGGGAGCAAACGGG
rnacentral:rRNA from 1 species